rnacentral:rRNA from 1 species
CUGCUGCCUCCCGUAGGAGUCUGGUCCGUGUCUCAGUACCAGUGUGGGGGACCUUCCUCUCAGAACCCCUACGCAUCGUCGCCUUGGUGGGCCGUUACCCCGCCAACAAGCUAAUGCGACGCAUGACCAUCCGUAGCCGGAAUCGCUUCCUUUAAACCCACAGAGAUGCCUCCAUGGGUUGUUACGCGGUAUUAGACGGAAUUUCUUCCGCUUAUCCCCUGCUACGGGCAGGUUUCAUACGUGUUACUCACCCGUGCGCCGGUCGCCGGCGGG